CGUACACUCCUGCGGGAGGCAGCAGUGGGGAAUCUUGCGCAAUGGGCGAAAGCCUGACGCAGCCAUGCCGCGUGAAUGAUGAAGGUCUUAGGAUUGUAAAAUUCUUUCACCGGGGACGAUAAUGACGGUACCCGGAGAAGAAGCCCCGGCUAACUUCGUGCCAGCAGCCGCGGUAAUACGAAGGGGGCUAGCGUUGCUCGGAAUUACUGGGCGUAAAGGGAGCGUAGGCGGACAUUUAAGUCAGGGGUGAAAUCCCGGGGCUCAACCUCGGAAUUGCCUUUGAUACUGGGUGUCUUGAGUAUGAGAGAGGUGUGUGGAACUCCGAGUGUAGAGGUGAAAUUCGUAGAUAUUCGGAAGAACACCAGUGGCGAAGGCGACACACUGGCUCAUUACUGACGCUGAGGCUCGAAAGCGUGGGGAGCAAACAGGAUUAGAUACCCCGGUAGUCCCAUG
rnacentral:rRNA from 1 species